ACGUAGGUGGCAAGCGUUGUUCGGAAUUACUGGGCGUAAAGCGUGCGUAGGUGGUUCGUUAAGUCCGAUGUGAAAGCCCUGGGCUCAACCUGGGAAUGGCAUUGGAUACUGGCGGGCUAGAGUGCGGUAGAGGAUGGCGGAAUUCCCGGUGUAGCAGUGAAAUGCGUAGAGAUCGGGAGGAACAUCUGUGGCGAAGGCGGCCAUCUGGACCAGCACUGACACUGAGGCACGAAAGCGUGGGGAGCAAACAGGA
rnacentral:rRNA from 1 species